GCUCAUUAGGCAUUUGCUUGAUUCUUCUGGUGUUAAGAAGUCACAAACGACACCAUAUCAUCCUAUGGGCAACGGAAUCACAGAAAGAUUUAAUCGAACAUUGGGAAACAUGGUCAGAGCCCUUGAACCACGACCAAAGCAAGAUUGGCCUCGGAUGCUCCAUACAUUAACAUUUGUGUACAACUGCACAGUGCACGAGACUACGGAGUACCCUCCCUUCUAUCUAAUGUUCGGUCGCACCCCGAGACUACCAGUUGAUGUUGUUUUCAAGAGCGUACUAUGGAAUGAUUCGAACGACUCCCUUCCCAAGUUCUGAUGACUCUGCACCUGAUGGUGAAGGCCCAGUAGUGGCUGACAAUGAUCUGCAGACAGUUGAGUCAGGUAAUGCUCACGACUCCGCUGCAGUUGUUGAUGUUCCAUCACAAAGUGUGGUCUCUGGAAAUAUUUCUCCAGAUCACUCGGUCUGUCAGGGAAGUCCUGAAGAAAGUAAUGUCUGUAAUUCUGACCCUGAUGUUGAUGGUACAGUAGAUGGUACUGAGUUACCGGGUCGCAGGUCAAAGUUUGGCAGAUUGUUGAAACCAGUGAAUCGCCUUAUUUCUUCUAUGAAUCAACACACUUUUUUUCAAAACAGAAAGCAAAUUCAGGGAAAAUGGUCUAUGUCAGUUUGAGAUGUUUUACUGCGCGCGCUGUCGAGUGCAUUAGGAGCACAUGGUAUUCUUUGCGUUUCUGUCUCUGUAUUUUCUCAUUGCUUAUUUUCACAUGUAUAUUUAUUUUUGACAGUUAUGAGACCGGAUGAGUUGUAUUUCAUGUCUGUUUGGUGUCAUUUCAUAUAUUCCAGUUAUGAUGUACUAAUGUUCUUAUGAUGUUAUAUUUUCUAUGUUCAGAAAAACAACAGAAAAAGAAAUUGAGCUCUUAAUUAUGGAAAGACUGAUUUAGUGUUUGUUGAACUGGUAAAUCAGUCGCAUGAAAGCUGUUGAGGAGAAUGUUAUGAGACCGGAUGAGCUGUAUUUCAUGUCUGUUUGGUGUCAUUUCAUAUAUUCCAGUAAACGUUAUGAGUGAGCUCACAUGCAUGCACCGUUUUAAUCGCCAUUUUGGUCAUUUCGUGACUUAACUGAUGAUGUAUGCUUGCAGUUUCUAGUGCGGUUUAUUUAUGAAUUGAGCGUGCGCCUCAUAUUCGCGUACAGUUGAAGAGCGUGCUCCAUGAGCACAGUAAAACGGCU
rnacentral:lncRNA from 1 species